GACGAACGCUAGCGGCGUGUCUGAAACAUGCAAGUCGAGCGGGCAUCAGCAAUGGUGUCAGCGGCGAACGGGUGCGUAACACGUAAAGAACCUGCCCUUUAGCGGGGGAUAGCCCUGGGAAACCGGGGGUAAUACCGCAUACGGUCAUUUUAUCGCAUGAUGAGAUGAGGAAAGGCUGUUGCUGUAAGGUAAUAGUCACUGAAGGAGGGCUUUGCGGCCUAUCAGGUAGUUGGUGAGGUAACGGCUCACCAAGCCAUAGACGGGUAGCUGGUCUGAG
rnacentral:rRNA from 1 species